UACGUAGGGGGCGAGCGUUGUCCGGAUUUAUUGGGCGUAAAGAGCGUGUAGGCGGCCAGGUAGGUCAGCUGUGAAAACUCGAGGCUCAACCUCGAGACGUCGGUUGAAACCAUCUGGCUAGAGUCCGGAAGAGGAGAGUGGAAUUCCUGGUGUAGCGGUGAAAUGCGCAGAUAUCAGGAAGAACACCCGUGGCGAAGGCGGCUCUCUGGGACGGUACUGACGCUGAGACGCGAAAGCGUGGGGAGCGAACAGG
rnacentral:rRNA from 1 species